UCCGAGUUGACCCCGGCAGUCUCCUGCGAGUCCCCGCCAUUACGCGCUGGCAACACAGGACAAGGGUUGCGCUCGUUGCGGGACUUAACCCAACACCUCACGGCACGAGCUGACGACAACCAUGCACCACCUGUGUACGGCCCCGAAGGACACCAUAUCUCUAUGGCUUUUCCCUACAUGUCAAACCCAGGUAAGGUUCUUCGCGUUGCAUCGAAUUAAGCCACAUGCUCCGCCGCUUGUGCGGGCCCCCGUCAAUUCCUUUGAGUUUUAGCCUUGCGACCGUACUCCCCAGGCGGAGUGCUUAACGCGUUAGCUAAGGCACCGCAGGGGUCGAUACCCGCGACACCGAGCACUCAUCGUUUACAGCGUGGACUAC
rnacentral:misc_RNA from 1 species